rnacentral:rRNA from 1 species
AGGAUCAUUCGCAAUGGGGGAAACCCUGACGAUGCGACGCUGCGUGGAGGAUGAAGGCCUUCGGGUUGUAAACUCCUGUCAUGAGGGAAAAGGCGAGAGUACCCAAUACGUACUUUAGUUGAUGGUACCUCAAGAGGAAGGGACGGCUAACUCUGUGCCAGCAGCCGCGGUAAUACAGAGGUCCCUAGCGUUGUUCGGAUUUACUGGGCGUAAAGGGCGCGUAGGCUGCAUGGCGUGUCAAGUGUGAAAUCUCCGGGCUCAACCCGGAAAGUGCGCUUGAAACUACCAUGCUGGAGGCCGGGAGAGGGAAUCGGAACAUAGGGUGUAGCGGUGAAAUGCGUUGAUAUCCUAUAGAACACCGGAGGCGAAGGCGGAUUCCUGGAACGGCACUGACGCUGAGGCGCGAAAGUCGGGGGAGCAAACA